AGUGUAUUGUUUUUGACAUGGUUAACUGAGGGGACAGGAAUGGCACACAAUUCAGCAAAUUUUAUUUUUUCUAUGAUAUAUAUCACUGAGAUAACACGGUGAGUAGUCAUCUCUACUGUUUUUUGUUUGUUGAUUUUUUUGAAUCAGAGAUCAAGAUUAAAUACUUUUGGAAAAGGCAAGUGAAAUGCUACUUUUUUAAAACUUUACCAGCAUUCUCUUAACCGAAUGUAAUUUACUUCCUUUUCUGCCUUAUGAAAACUUCUACUUUGUCUCACCUAUAAAAUUUCUCAGCAUUUUUCUUCAAACUGGGAGGCCCUUGUAAUUUGAAUAUUAAAAUGUUUGUUGCCUUUUUUCUUGUUGCUCAAAUUUAUCCUGGCUCAUGGGUCAAUGUAUUCCUUACUCAGCUGUUGUGCUCAUUUAUCUCACUAAUUAGCUAGCUCUCUCCUGGAAGAGAGCUCCUGGAGUUCCCAUUGUGGCUCAGCGGUAAUGAUCCUGACUAGUAUCUAUGAGGAUGCAGGUUUGAUCCCUGGCCUUGAUCACUGGGUUAAGGAUCUGGCAUUGGUGUUUCCAUGAGCUGCAUGGUUUGGAUCUGGCAUUGCUGUGGCUGUGGUAUAGGUCAUCAACUACAGCUUCAAUUUGAGCUGAGAAGUUCCAUAUGCCAAAGAUGUGGCCCUCAAAAAAGCAAAAAAUAAAAAUAAAAAAAAGAGAGAGUUCCUUGCUUUUUCUUGGCUGAUAUCUGUCUGUGUUGGGAAGCUCUGCACCGUCUUUUAUUCCUAGAGCUUCUUUUUCCAUCCCACCUUGCUUUGAUUAUUCAGACUUUUUCUAAGACUGAAAGAGAAAGGCUGAUAAUAUAUCUCUUUCUCUCAAGGCUGGCUCUAAUCCUGAGACAAUUUCUUUCUAACUGGGAGAAAAGUUACCUUAGCAACUAAGCAACUAAUUAACUCAAUUAAAUUUCCCCCUCCUCCUUUAUCAAUAUUCAAUUAACAUUAAAUCGCUUCUUUGCUAUGCUCUGUAGUUUUAUAACUCUAUGAGCAAAUAGCUGAAGUGGACCAAGGAUUGCAGGGGGCAGGAUGAGGAAUGUCUCAGAGGGGCCAAAAUGUUCAGGUGAGGACUCAGAACCUGAAGGCAACACCUUCAUUCCCCAACUUCCCUUAGCACAUUUUAAGAUCUUUGGAUGCAAUUUAGAUGCAGCUGUUGGGAAUAGAAGGGGCAGGAACAGAACUCAGAAGUGACCAAGAUUGUUUCUAGCACUCAGUAGAAUGGCAUUCAGAAGCAGAAAUAGGUUGAUGUAAAGAAAAACAAAUUCCCAUUGUGGUGCAGCAGAAACAAAUCCAGCUAGUAUCCAUGAGGAUUCGGGUUUGAUCCCUGGCCUCACUCAGUGGGUAGGGGAUCCAGCAUUGUCAUGAACUGUGGUGUAGCUUGCAGACACAACUCGGAUCCCACCUGGCUGUGGCUGUGGCUGUGGCUGGCAGCUAUAGCUCUGAUUCCAACCCCUAGCCUGGGAACUUCCAUAUGCUGUGGGUGCGGCCUUAAAAUAAUUAAAAAAUGAAAAAUAAUGGAGGGGAAAUGAAGCAAAUCCUAGCAAAUUUAAAAACUGUUUUUACUAUGAAAGUCAAGUAGUAAAAGAUGGAUUUUCCCUAAAAGAAUCAAAGUAGAAAUGAGUUGGAUUCUAACAUAUUCUGGAAGGUUGGUUUGGAAAUCCACAUAUUUUCCUCACCUUCUCCAAAUGCGGAAACAUUGCUCAGCCAUGAUUGAAUUUGCUUCCUUAACUUCAUUAUCACCAGCCUUAGACAAUUUCUACAUUCUGAACAUGACAUAUACUUCUUAUCUACAUCAUCCUUUCUAGGAGUGAGUGGGAAUAAGAAUAAAUGCAUUUAUUCUCUUCUGUCAAAUUAAGCCUUUAGACGAAAUGUGUGAAUUGAUACAUAAACAUGCAAAAUCAUCUCAUUGACCCUUGUUAGGUGCUUAAUAUCUGUGUACUGAGUACUUCAAUGAUCUCAUUAGGAAUGCUUUAGGAAGUUAAUACUGUAGCCCCAUUAUGCAAAUGAGGGUAUUAAGGCAUUCAAAUAUAUGUACCUGUGUUAAAGGCACACACCAAGUUAGCAAAGAUCUGGGAUUUGGAUCCAGAUCAGUUGAAUGCCAAAGAUAAUUUUUUCAGUUACUAUCCACGCUAUCCACAUGAGCAGAGGAGAGAAAUGAUAUUCCUACUUAAGGACAUACUGUUUAAUGCCCUGUCUAGAGAAACUCUGACCUUGACAAGUUAUCAGAUAAAGAGGAUAUUUCUAGAGGUACAAGUCAAGUGUGUAUUGAAGAGUCUGGUCCUAAAAUUUUAAGUGGUGAGAUUAUUAUAUAAAACAUUUGUACAAAUUGUUUAUGUGCAGCUAACCCUGGGACUCAGGGCUACUGAUUUUAACAAAUAAAAUGACUAGGUGACCAUUUACUUUAAAUUUCAGAUAAACAACAAAAAAUGCUUAGUAUAAAGACAUUCUUUGCACUAUUUGGGAUUUACUUAUACUAAAAAAAUUUAUUAAUUAUCUGAAAUUCAAAUUUUACUAGAUGUUCAGAAUCUUAUCAGGCAACCUUACAGGUCUAGGUUCUGUCACUGCUAAGUAUGUGAUUAUUUGUCACUGUUCUGCCUAAUACUGAGCCCUACUACAGUGGCUAAGACCAGAAAAAAAAUCACACAGACUCACACGUGCUGCUCCUAGCAUGUACAUCAUGAUCCAGAGCAGUGCUUGGGAGGAUAGUCCAUGUGGGAAUUUGGCCUUGGACUAGUCUUUUCCAGCACCUCCUUUCUCCUACCUGGAGCUCCUGACUGAAGAGUCACACCUUGGGAUCCAUGCUUGAUUCUCCUGCUCCUUUUCUCUCAUCUGUUUUUCCCCCUGAUCCCAAACAUGCCAGUCAUUGCCUUCACAUUCAGUACCUAGGCACACAUGAGUCUGGAGUUGGAAUUUAGGGCUAGAAAGACUCCUGGAGAUUGUUUCACAAAUGAGGAAACUGAGGACCUUAUAG
rnacentral:lncRNA from 1 species